rnacentral:rRNA from 1 species
UACGUAGGGUGCAAGCGUUGUCCGGAAUUAUUGGGCGUAAAGAGCUCGUAGGCGGUUUGUCGCGUCUGCUGUGAAAACCCGAGGCUCAACCUCGGGCCUGCAGUGGGUACGGGCAGACUAGAGUGCGGUAGGGGAGAUUGGAAUUCCUGGUGUAGCGGUGGAAUGCGCAGAUAUCAGGAGGAACACCAAAUGGCGAAGGCAGAUCUCUGGGCCGUAACUGCGCUGAGGAGCGAAAGCAUGGGGAGCGAACAGG